UACGUAGGGUGCAAGCGUUAAUCGGAAUUACUGGGCGUAAAGCGUGCGCAGGCGGUUUUGUAAGUCCUGUCGUGAAAUCCCCGGGCUUAACCUGGGAAUGGCGAUGGAGACUGCGAAGGCUAGAGUUUGGCAGAGGGGGGUAGAAUUCCACGUGUAGCAGUGAAAUGCGUAGAGAUGUGGAGGAACACCCGAUGGCGAAGGCAGCCCCCCUGGGUCAAGACUGACGCUCGAUGCACGAAAGCGUGGGGAGCAAACAGG
rnacentral:rRNA from 1 species